rnacentral:tRNA from 1 species
UUUUAUUAGUUUUUAAACAAUAUAUGAUACCUUGUAUUACAUACAAUGAAAGCAUAUUACCAUGCCUUCAGUGAUGACUUUUGCAGAAAAAUACAUUUCAAAAAGUCCUAAUUUAACUUUGCAUUUGAAUGUUUAAAUCCAUAUAAGAGGUGAUAAAUCCAACUUUCUUUUAAUAUCCCAUGGUUUUCUCAGAGUGCUGUCAGGCCUCUUUGGAGCUUUUACAUAGGGAGAAAAAAGCUAAGCAAUUAGUAAGCCACCACAGACACUGCCAGGGAGGUGCACUUUGCCAUGUCCAAGGGUAAGGACUUACUCUUGCAGAAGGCUGAUAGCAAAGAAAUCCAAGCAAUGAGAAUGUCCUACUACUGACAUAUUUACACAGGUCAGAAACCAGAGGAGGGAGAGUAACAACAUACGUGCAUUGUCACAGAAUUUCUUAAAUGUGUAAGCUAGGAGUUACAUAUUUACUCCAACCAACAGGACCAUCAUUACCAAACACUUUUUGUGUUGAGUUAUUAUUGUUGCAAAUGGAGCGUUUGGUGUCUUAGACUAGUGGUCUUCAAAUUAGGUAUUUGUAACCAUGGAAGUAAUCAACUACUUUUGGGUACUUGGGCAGAGUUGAAAGAUACUAUCUUUCAGAUCAUGAAAUUCUAUACAUACCUUUUCCAAAACUAAUAUGACUUGGCAGAUCUGUGUGACUUAUUUUCACCCAUCUCUCAUCAGAACCUUCAUGCUACAGCUUUACAGAGGAAAAGGGUAACUCUCAUCUUCAGCCCAUUCCACAUCCUAUAGUGGCACAGUUCCAGAAUAUAAAAAUCUCGGGGGCCAGUGUCUUUUCUGCUUGUCUGUGUGCCUGCCUGCCUUUCUAUCUAGCAAUUAUCUGUCCAUGUGGCCCACUUCUCAUUUCUACAUCCAUUUACUCAUCUUUCUAAUUAUGUCUUAGAAUUAAAAAUCAAAACUGAGAUUUUUAAAUUUUAUUUAUUUAAAUAAUAUCUACACCCAACAUGGGGCUGGAACUCAUGACCCUGACAUCAAGAGUAGCAUGCUCUUCCAACUGAGCCAGCCAGGCAACCCCAGAAACUGAGAAAGGUUUAAUGCUGCUG